AGCGAACGCUGGCGGCAGGCUUAACACAUGCAAGUCGAGCGGGCACCUUCGGGUGUCAGCGGCAGACGGGUGAGUAACACGUGGGAACGUACCCUUCGGUUCGGAAUAACGCUGGGAAACUAGCGCUAAUACCGGAUACGCCCUUAUGGGGAAAGGUUUACUGCCGAAGGAUCGGCCCGCGUCUGAUUAGCUAGUUGGCGGGGUAACGGCCUACCAAGGCGACGAUCAGUAGCUGGUCUGAGAGGAUGAUCAGCCACACUGGGACUGAGACACGGCCCAGACUCCUACGGGAGGCAGCAGUGGGGAAUAUUGGACAAUGGGCGCAAGCCUGAUCCAGCCAUGCCGCGUGAGUGAUGAAGGCCUUAGGGUUGUAAAGCUCUUUUGUCCGGGACGAUAAUGACGGUACCGGAAGAAUAAGCCCCGGCUAACUUCGU
rnacentral:rRNA from 1 species